GGCUCUGUGGCUUAGUUGGCUAAAGUGCCUGUCUCAUAAACAGGAGAUCGUGGGUUUGAAUCCCAGUGGGGCCU
rnacentral:tRNA from 1 species